UCUCAGUGGGAGAUUUCUCCAUGUGCCUGCACACAGUCACAUUCUAAGAACAUGUGGAUGAGGUGCUGUCUGGAGCUCUCUGCUGUGACUGGGAUCAAGAGUAAAUCUUUCUAGUGGAGGAACCCUUUGUCUGACCUGAAUGAGUAGCAACAGGAG